UACGUAGGGAGCAAGCGUUGUUCGGAUUUACUGGGCGUAAAGGGCGCGUAGGCGGUCGUGACAAGUCACUUGUGAAAUCUCCGGGCUUAACUCGGAACGGUCAAGUGAUACUGUCGGACUAGAGUACAGAAGGGGCAACUGGAAUUCUUGGUGUAGCGGUGAAAUGCGUAGAUAUCAAGAGGAACACCUGCGGCGAAGGCGGGUUGCUGGGCUGACACUGACGCUGAGACGCGAAAGCUAGGGGAGCGAACAGG
rnacentral:rRNA from 1 species